rnacentral:rRNA from 1 species
CUGGCUCAGAACGAACGCUGGCGGCGCGUUUAAGCAUGCAAGUCGAGCGGCAAGGGCCUUCGGGCCCUAGAGCGGCGGACGGGUGAGUAACACGUGGACAAUCUGCCCCCCGGCCCGGGAUAGCCCAGGGAAACCUGGAUUAAUACCGGAUGAGACGGGACCCGCGAUGGCGGGAUCCGGGAAAGGCGCUGCGGCGCCGCCGGGGGAUGAGUCUGCGUCCCAUUAGCUAGACGGCGGGGUAACGGCCCACCGUGGCGACGAUGGGUAGCCGGCCUGAGAGGGUGGACGGCCACAUUGGAACUGAGACACGGUCCAGACUCCUACGGGAGGCAGCAGCUAAGAAUCUUCCGCAAUGGGCGAAAGCCUGACGGAGCCGACGCCGCGUGAACGAAGAAGGCCGUGAGGUUGUAAAGUUCUUUUCGGGAGGGGGAACAACCGUGGCAGGGAAUGGCCGCGGGAUGACGUGAAUCCCGGAAUAAGCCCCGGCUAACUACGUGCCAGCCGCCGC